GGGGUGACUAGUGACAGAGUGAGAGAGGGGGUGACACAGUGAAAGAAUGAGGAAGGGGGUGACACAGUGAGGGAGAGGGUGACACAGUGACAGAGUGAAGGAGCUGGUGACUGUCACUAGUCACCCCAUUCCUCCCUCUGUCACUAAUCACCACCUCCCUCACUCUGCCACUAGUCACCCCUUCCCUCCCUCACUCUGUCACUAGUCACCCCCUCCCUCUCUCUCUGUCACUAGUCACACCC